GUUUAACAGAAAUGUAAUAAUAACAGUAGUAACGUUAAUGCUAUUGAAUGAGGUAGUAAUUAUUUCUUUAAGCUCUAAGUCUUAAAUAAACAGUGUAUGCCUAAGUCCAUUUCAGUGCUUCCAAGAAAAUAAGCAGCAAAGUUCUCUUCUGCUAAAAUGGAGAAUGAAGUAUUUGGGGAUGGAAAGGCAUUUAGCAAAGGCAGAAACUCUUACUGCUGUCUCUGGAGCUUGUCCCCAGACUCACCGUGGGAGAGUUAAAAGCUCAAUAGUACCACAGCCAUUCUUAUGCUAUUGGCAGUGCUGUAUAUGUGUUAUGCGCUACGACUUCCUUGAAGUGAGUUACCUCUAAAGAAGUUGCCGUUAGAAAUGCUGAUCAGCUCCUAAAUGCUGAGCCCCU
rnacentral:lncRNA from 1 species